GUUAAGUAUAAGGAAUUCCAACAGCAGUAGUGAUUGCACAAUGUGCUUAUGCUUGUUUAGAAUUGUUUAGAAGAACUGCUCUGUCAUUGAAUAAGUGUUGCUUCCUGAGAUGAUAUCAGUUCACAUUCGGUGAGCGGUCUGUUGGUCCUGGCUAAGUUUGGAGAGAAAAAACAGCCCCACCUUAUUUUUGAGUGAAAGUAGGAUUUGAACGACAUGCACAUUCCUCACAUUGUUAGUUUUUCUUUUUCACGCACGACUUCUUGAAACUAAGAUGAUGUUUCAACCGUUGCAAAUUGUAACAGUAUUCAUUGUCGAUAAG